GCAACUCAUUUGGUUUGCCUUGCUGUUCUGUGGGAGGUUUGUUCUCUUGCUCUUUGCAAUAACUGUUGCUGCUGCUUACUUUUUGGGUCCACACUGCUUUUACGAGCUGUAACACUCACCACGAAGGUCUGCAGCUUCACUUCUGAAGUCAGCAAAACCACGAACCCAACGGGAGAGAACGAACAACUCCAGACGCACCGCCUUAAGAGCUGUAACACUCACCGAGAGGGUCCGCGGCUUCAUUCUUGAAGUCAGUGAGACCAAGAACCCACCAAUUCCGGACACGAUAGUGCUGCCAAACCAGCCUGGAGAACGCGGCCUUCAGGACUUCUGGUACCGUGCGAGUCAGGGUCUUGCCGUCACCCAGGCUGGAGUGCAGUGGUGCAAUCAUAGCUCGCUGCAGCCUCGAACUCCUGGGCUCAAGCGAUCCUCUCACUUCAGCCUCCUGAGUAGCUGAGACUACAGAGUUUCAGUCUUUUUGUUGGCACUGCUCUUGAACUCCUGGCCUCAAGCAAUCAUCCCACCUUGGCCUCUUGAAGCUCUACAGGCAUGAGCCACCACUCCUGGCCUUUCCUUGUUAUUAGUCUUCUCAAAUUCCAUGUUCCUGGCAGCUGUGAUGGACAGAUUUUACUGGUGACGUUGGAGCAACACAGACUUUGGCUCCCAGGUGUCUGAGACUGCGGGAAAGUUAACCAGCAACAGCGUUGGGGCUAGGGAAGGGCAAAGCUCUCGGAGACCUUGAGAGAGAAGCUUGGAAGUCCCCACCUUCAUUCGAGCCUCUGGCUCAGGCUGGGAGAGAAGAUGGAGUCGGUUCUGGAAGGUUCGGUGGUGAAAGAGGAUGACGGGACAUUUACAGAUCGUCAUAGGAAGGUGGUAAGUGCUCUACCAUGGCUCAGCAUGCUGUGUGCCAGGGUUACACCCUGAGGAACAGGAGUGCUCAUGGAGGGCUGGAUGUUAUUCUUUCAUCCAAAAAGUAUCUCUUGAGCCUCUACCAUGAGCCAAACAUUGGGAUGCAACAGGGAAGAAAUCAGACAACCUCCCUGCCCUCAGGGAGCUUACACUCCUGGGGAGGAGGUAGACAAAAAGCACAAUUCAUAAUAUAUUUUGUUGAUUUGGAAAUACACCAUUUGUUGUCACAUUUUGAUAUUUAAAAUUGGAGUGCAUCUUAAUAGUGUCAUUGUGUUGCAGUUUGUCAGUGUUUUUCCUUUCUCAGCAGUGUGUAAAAUAAUGGUGCAUCUUAUAGUUGCUGGCAUCUUAGAUUUGAUGACAUUCUCCAGUACUUCAGGUCAUAAUAAUGACUAUGAAAGGAAACAAAUAGCCAGGUGUACCUGUCAGAGAACAAAUGGCAGGACACAAAUGGCUCAAUCACCAAGGUGUGGUUGAAGAGUUUACCUGUAGAAAUCGAAGGGGCAGGAGUACGGUUUUGUUAUGUGGAUAUGCCACAUAGUGCUGAAGCUUGGGCUUUUAGUGUCAUCAUCGCUCCACUAAUGUACAUUGUACCCAUUAAGGAAUUUCUCAUCCCUCACCCUGCUGUAGCCCUCCCACCCUUUGGAGUCUCCAAUGUCUAUUAUUCCACACUCUAUAUCCACAUGCACACAUGAUUUAGGUCCCACUUACAAGUGAGAACAUGCAGUUUUGACUUUCUGAGUUAUUUAACUUAAGGUAAAUGGCCUCUAGUUCCAUCCAUGUUGCUGCAAAAGACAUAAUUUCGUUCAUUUUUUUUUUUUUUUUGAGAUGGAGUCUCACCCUGUCACCCAAGCUGGAGUGCAGUGGUGCUAUCUCAGCUCACUGCAACCUCUGCCUCCCAGGUUCAAGCAAUUCUUCUGCCUCAGCCUCCUGAGUAACUGGGAUUACAGGUGUGUGCCACCAUGCCUGGCUAAUUUUUUGUAUCUUUAGUAGAGACGGAGUUUCACCAUGUUGGCCAGGCUGGUCUCAAACUCCUGACCUUGUGAUCUGCCCACCUCGGCCUCCCAAAGUGCUGGGAUUACAGGUGUCAGCCACCGCGCCUGGCCAACUUCAUUCUUUUUUAUGGCAGAAUAGUAUUCCUAUUCUAUUGAAUGCUACUCCUAUUCAUAGAAUGUAGUAUUCCUACCCUAUAUUCUAUUCUGUGAAUAUAUAUGUAUGUAUAUUUUUUACAUUUAGGAAUACUAUGGCAGAAAGUAUAUAUGCCACAUUUUCUUUAUCCAAUCAUCUGUUGAUGGAUGCUUGGGUUAAUUUCAUAUCAUUGCUAUUGUGAAUAUUGCUGAGGUAAUAUUGCUGAGGUAAGCAUACAAGUACAAGUAUCCUUGACACAGUGAUUUCUUUUCCUGUGGGUAGACAUCUAGCAGUGGGAUAGCUGGAUUGAAUACAUCUCCAUACUGUUUUUCAUGGAGGCUGCAGUAAUUUACAUUCCCACCAACAGUGGAGAAGUGUUCCGUAUUCUCCACAUCCUCACCAACAUCUGUUAUUUCCUGAUUUUUUAGUAGCCAUUCUGACUGGUGUAACAUGGUGUCUUGCUGUGGUUUGAAUUUGCAUUUCUCUGAUGAUUGGUAUGUUGGGCAUUGUUUCAUAUGCUUACUGGCCUUUUGUAUGUCUUCUUUUGAAACUGUGAAGACAGUUUAAGGAAGAGAUGGCUGACAGGUGGGACAGGGUUACAAGAACCCAUGGGGGUGGUGCUGCACCCGGGAGCAAGCCCUGGCUGCCUGAGGCCUGAAGGGUGGGAGGAUGGGGCAGCAUUCUUAAAAAGGGGUUGAGCUGAAACCUUAGAAAAAGGACACCUAAGCGCAGCCGUGGGUAUCAGGUGAUGUGGCCACUGCAGGAGCUGCCGUCCAGCAGUGUGGGAGCACGGGAAAUCGACAUCUUGCCGUAACUACUUCCUGCUGUCUCUCGUUAGCCAAAUUCCCGGUGAGGCCAGAGGCCAGGGAGCCUGGCUGAGGCAGUCCCUUGGGGUCAGCCCUCAGGGGCACAAGGCAGGGUUGAGGGGGCUGGACGUGGACCUGCAAACAGAAGUAAGCAGCACACAGCUUAGCGAAUCGACCAGGCGGUGACCAGUAGUUCUAUUCUGGUUUGCACGGGACUGAGGGCUUUCUUGGAAUGCGAGCUUCGCUGCUGAAACUGGGAAAGUCCUGGGUAAAUUGGGGUGACUCUCACCCUAGUAGACAGUUGCAGGGGAAGCCAGGAGAGGCCACUCUGCAAAGUCUCAGCUGAGCUAAGACGUGGGCCAUGGGAAUGUCUAGGGGAGAGUGUUCCAAAGAGGGCAGGACCUGAGUGGGCUGAGCAUGGAGUGCAGGAAAGUCACUGAGGAGCCUGUGGGCCUGGGUGGAGUGGGCAGAGGGAAGCGAGGCCGGGGAUGAGGUCCAAGAGUUAGGAAGAUUCUAGACCGUGUGCAAGACCUCGUGCCAUGGUGAGGAGUGUUGAUUUGACUCAAGCAUGAUGGAGCUGCUCAAAAUGACGAUUUUGAGCAGAGGAAGGAUGUGAUUCAAUGGGUUUAAUAGGAGCCCUGUGGCUGUCAUGGAAGAAAUGGCCCAUAGAGGGUGAGAAGGAGGCGGGGGCAGUGAGGAGGCUCCGGAAUAUUCCAGGCAAGAGAUGAGAGCGGCCUGGUGGUCCCGGGUAGGACGGUGGAGGUGGGGAGAAGUGGUGGGAGUCAGAACUGAUUUCGAAAGUAGAGCUGGCAGGAUCUUCUGAUCAGUUGGAAAUUAUGUGAGGGAGAAAGGAGUCAAGAGCAAAUCCAAGGUCACUUCGCACCGUUCCUAUGGAUAUGCUCCAAUCAUGGGACUUAUGAGCUGUGAUAAAUUUAUAAUUAAGAGUAUGUUGGCGGAUGCCACAAGCUUCCAGGCCUUCUCUAGAAUGUUCUCACAGUGGAAAACAAAGCUUGAGCGAGACCCAUACUCAUGAUGUUCACCCCGCAACCCAUGAAAUGCAUGCUGCAAUAGCCCACAUAUACCAGUGGAGUCAUCCCGUGGUUGUGUAUGUGCUGGGAGGUGACCAAGCUGUUUGCUACAAACCCAAAGACAUUGUUGUCAGGAGAAAUAGAAGUUCAGACAGAAAGAUGGGGCCUAUGGAGCCAAAUGAGCCCAAGCAGGGUGUCUGGCACCCCGUCUAGAGAGGGAGGAGACUUGUGGUCCCCCAGUCCCCAGCUGGGUGAGGUGACCCACCCAGACCCUGCUGCGGUGGGUCAGUUCAGGAGGAGGCAGGGCCGCAGGUGAGCCUGCCCAGGGUAGCAGGUGCCAUGCAGCCCUUAGAAGAAAGGUCAGGGAGGUCUCCCAGGAGGAGCUGACAUGUGAGCCAGGCUGGGCAGAGAAGGUGGGAGAGUGAGGAAGGGGGUCCCAGGAGGAGAGAGGAAGACCAGGACAUGAAAAGGUGCAGCCGACAAGGCCAGAGGGACAUGAUCUGGGACACGAUCCAGGAUGAUGGGACCAUCUAGAUCCAUUUAUAUCUAUUAGGGCCCUUUGGCUGCAAGAGGCAGCUGUAUAAUUCAAUCCAAACAGGAAUGUAGUGGCUGCCUCUGUGGAGUUCUCAGACACAGGAGGGGCUGGGGACCAGGAUUAAAGAGGACAAGUCCAGGGUCUUACCAGGAGGUCUCAGUAGCAGGAACUGGGAGGCAUCUUAUGUAGGCCCCACCCUGGUAUCCAUGACCUGACUGAUCUUUGCCUUUGAGGGAGAGGAACCCACAUAGCCAUGGCAGCCUCAUGAUGUUACAGACGAGGAGCUGGAGUCCAAGGUCAUGCAGCAUGUCCACUGUCACACAGCCAGCAGGUACAGAGGGAGGGUGCCUAUCCCAGCCCACAGGCUCCCAGCCUCAGAUUUUCCUACUACAACGGACCUCUCAACCCCAGACAUUCCCGAGCUACCUUCGUGACUUUUGUCAUUUGCAUAUGCUGCCUCCAAUAUUAUGAAAACUUUUUUUUUUAAAAAAAUCAGUUUACUUAUCAAUUUAUCUUAGGCAAUAGUGUCAGUGAAAUCAUGUAUUGGACGAGCUACUUUUUUGUUUUCUAAUACUCACCAAAUUGUUUUAUACAAUUAAAACAGACAGUGGGACAAUGGUCAUCUAUGAAGAGCCCUGAUCAUCUUUGUGGGGACCUUUCCACAGUUUGGGAAACUGUGUAAUAUAACUUAGCAGCUUUUCUGUUGGAGGAUGAAGUAGAUGGGUUAUGUUCAAACAUCUUUUUAGCCCCCAAACUCUCACUGUUAAGGAGAAUCUCACAUUGAGCUCUAAUUUGCAAAACCAAGAAAAGGGGAGCUUUUGGGCUUGGAAUGGAAGUUGGGGGGAAGGGAAUCCAGCCCACCCAUCUUUCCCCUGGCCACAUGGAAGAUUUCACAGCACCUCCUUGGAAUCUAAGAAAGAUCCUGGUUUGAAGAUGUUGGUGCUGAGUACAGUACAUGCUCUAGUGGCUGUAGGGCCAGGAAGGGGCAUGAGUGAGUUGGGCCUGUGCUGAGGAAAACAGACUCCAGCCCAAGGUAUACGUGUGUGCUGAGCACGGUGGGUGGGCACCUCCAUCCCACAGGCUCCCUGGGCUGCAGAGGUGGGAAAGCUAAAACCUGCCUUUCCCAGGCUCCUCUGGGCAUGGAGUGGGGUGAGGUCAUGUGCUGCUGCUGAUGCAGAGACUCAUGCAUGUGCUAACAGUUGGGGCAUUAGCAUGACAGAAGGUUCUGAAAGCGUGUCCUAGAUUUCUGGCAGCCUUGAAAUGCACUCUCAUCCCAGAUUCCAGGAUUCCAGGGCGAGUGCUACCGAGAUGUUCCCAGCAAACUGCUGAAACUGGAGUUGUUUUAUGUCAGUAACAACUAAGUGUGACCAUGACUGAGGAGCGGGGACUGGCUGGCUUCCUUUCCUCCUCCGGGCUGAGGGGUAAGUCUUAAGUGAGUUAGCAAAUUUCAGGGUCAGGACAACUUGAACUCUGCAGAUGGUGGGACAGGGUGUCGGUGACCCAUUUCUCUCCUCAGAAAGGACCUCUGGGGGCAAGGAUGUCCCCUCUGCACAGUUCCCAGGGUGCCUGGGUGGAUUAACUGGGCAGCGAGAUCACAGAGCAACCCCGCCACAAAUUGCUCCAACGAGGAGGCAGGACUUUUCCUCCCUGCCCUUUUCAAACUUGCUGUGGUGGAUUCCUUUUUUUAGUUUGGGGAAGAUUCUUGAUUUCGUUGUUUGUGGCACUCAGCAACAAAUCUCAGAGUUGCAGCUAAAGUGAGCUCUUUCCCCACGCUGCAUCUUCCGCUCUGGUAUUCAUCAUGUUUAAUCAUUCGCUUACUUCGGACCGCCACAGGCAUUGGGAGGGCAGCAUAUCAUGAACUUGGGACAGUUUUUAUUCUUUAAAGGCUCAGGGAGGGAACCUUGUAGGAAGGGACAGGGCUGGGGUGAGACUGUCUCAGAGUCAUGGCUGGAGAUGGGCUGGAGCAAGUGAAGCAUCAACAAAGGCCACAGAAUGACCAAUAAAGGGAAGUGACAGCAAAACCCUCCUGGGACCUCAAAGCCUGACCCUGUUUGCCAAGAAAAUCUCUCAUGGAAAAGGAGAGACUUAACGCCAAAAAGAAAAGAAACAGCUGAAGGGUUCUCUGCCAAAGGAAUGUCAAAGACUUUAAUUCGAGAUGAAAUGUGCUCUUUGUGUACAAUUAAUUUUCCUCCCAAAUGAAGGGUUUUGUCUAUUACUUGAGUAUUUCAAUAGCAGCCGUGUGAUUACGGUAGCAUGUGCCUCUUCAGUUUGCAAAGCGGCUGUUUGUGUUGACGUGUUGGAAAAGCACACAUUGCUUGGGUUACUUCCUGGGUCUAAGAAGGAAAAAACAAUCAAUGAAAACACCUCCAAAUAGAGACUUGGCUCCCGCGUGGAUGAUGUCAUCUGGAAAAUGUGAGCAGGACCGUUCCCCAAGAAGGAAGGGGCUGCAGGAAUUCUGCUCUGGCUUUUGGGAGCUGUGGUUAGGAGGACGGAGACUACACCUACAAACUGUGGGCAGCAGGGUCCUAACUCAAAUGCCUCGAGAGGCCAGGUGGGACAUGUGUAUGAGGGAAGCCUGUUGAGUGUAUUUUUUCCAACACAAAUAUAUUUGUUUGCAUAGUAAAUA